rnacentral:rRNA from 1 species
AACGCUGGCGGCGCGCUUAACACAUGCAAGUCGAGCGAGAACCAGGGCUUCGGCCCUGGGGACAGCGGCGAACGGGUGAGUAACACGUGGGUAAUCUGCCCUCGGUUCUGGGAUAGCCCGGGGAAACCCGGAUUAAUACCGGAUAGCCUCUAGAGCCCUCGGGCUCGUGAGAAAAGGUAGCUUCGGCCUCCGACCGAGGAGGAGCCUGCGGCGGAUUAGCUUGUUAGCGGGGUAACGGCCCACCAAGGCGACGAUCCGUAGCUGGUCUGAGAGGACGAUCAGCCACACUGGGACUGGGACACGGCCCAGACUCCUACGGGAGGCAGCAGUGGGGAAUCUUGCGCAAUGGGCGAAAGCCUGACGCAGCGACGCCGCGUGAGGGAAGAAGGCCUUCGGGUUGUAAACCUCUUUCAGGAGGGACGAAGCCACUCGGGUUAAUAGCCCAGAGGGUGACGGUACCUCCAGAGGAAGCCCCGGCUAACUACGUGCCAGCAGCCGCCGUAAUAC